CGAGCCCUCCAGACUUCCACUCCCACCUUUCUUCCUGAUGCUCAGAAAGAAAGACCACCAUCUUGACCCCAGGGCCUGACACCAUCAUCAUGCAGAGCCAGUUCACUCAUUCAAGACAUUUCCGAGGAUCUCUGGUCAAAGCACAAAGGGGGUCAGCACCAUCUUGGCCUCAAGUGGCCAUUGGCUUACAUGCUUGUCUCUUUGGAGCUCUGAGCUACCAGGUGGCUUUAAACAGAAGAAAUCUAUCAAGCACAGAUUUGGAGGCUAGGCAGUUAACAACCAAGCACCGUGGAUCAAUGUUUCUGUGUUUCAAACCCCCUCUGGACCAUCUGUCUCCAGAGGAGCCGAGAAAGCCCUGGAAACAGGAAGAACAUACCUGGGGGCCUUGGCUGAGACCCUGAACCUCGAAAGCUCCAUCUGUUCUUAGAUAUUCCUCAAAGGCUGUUGUGUGACAUUCACCUCAUAGCAGAGAGCUGAUUGGAUACUCCCAGGAAUCAGGGAACCCCAGAAGUUACAGUUAAGAGAUCCGUUUCACAUGGACCAAAGAUAUUACAUUAAAUCACAUUAUAUUACCA